AUCCACCGACCAACAUCAAAUAGAGGUGGGCCACCACCACCUACGGCCUUUUUAGUUUUUCCUUUUCCUCUGCUUCCCAUUCUCCAUUUCUCCUUCCCAAAUCGGAUCCGAGUAUCCAACGAUUCCUACCAUUCGCUGGAGCUUGGAGGCUGGAAGCCUGGAAGAGAUCGAUCGGAACUAUUUCCUCUUUCUGGCAGUGGUUGAAACUUUUGACUAGUGUAUUCAACGCAAUCCAAAAACUUGAAGAUAAGAUCCAAACCAUCAG